rnacentral:rRNA from 1 species
AGAGUUUGAUCCUGGCUCAGAACGAACGUUAGCGGCGCGCCUAAGACAUGCAAGUCGAGCGAGAAAGGGAUUCGUCCCCGGUAAAGCGGCGCACGGGUGAGUAACACGUAGGUAAUCAACCCUCGAGUGGUGGAUAACUCUCCGAAAGGAGAGCUAAUACAGCAUGAUGCUAGCAAUAGCCAAAGCGGGCCUCUUCAUGAAAGCUCGCGCUAGAGGAUGAGCCUGCGGCCCAUCAGGUAGUUGGCGGGGGUAAUGGCCCACCAAGCCAUAGACGGGUAG